GACGAACGCUGGCGGCGUGCCUAAUACAUGCAAGUAGAACGCUGAAGCUUGGUGCUUGCACCGAGCGGCUGAGUUGCGAACGGGUGAGUAACGCGUAGGUAACCCUGCCUGGUAGCGGGGGAUAACUAUUGGAAACGAUAGCUAAUACCGCAUAAGAGUAGAUGUUGCAUGACAUUUGCUUAAAAGGUGCAAUUGCCUCACUACCAGAUGGACCUGCGUUGUAUUAGCUAGUUGGUGAGGUAACGGCUCACCAAGGCAACGAUACAUAGCCGACCUGAGAGGGUGAUCGGCCACACUGGGACUGAGACACGGCCCAGACUCCUACGGGAGGCAGCAGUAGGGAAUCUUCGGCAAUGGACGGAAGUCUGACCGAGCAACGCCGCGUGAGUGAAGAAGGUUUUCGGAUCGUAAAGCUCUGUUGUAAGAGAAGAACGACGUGUGAGAGUGGAA
rnacentral:rRNA from 1 species